ACAGUGUUGUCACCCAUAAAGUAGAAAGCACUACUAAACUUCACUACACAGUGUAGUGUUUCCUACUUUAUGGAUGAGUACACUGU
ensembl:miRNA